rnacentral:rRNA from 1 species
UACGUAGGGUGCAGGCGUUAAUCGGAAUUACUGGGCGUAAAGGGCUCGUAGGCGGCCAACUAAGUCAGACGUGAAAUCCCUCGGCUUAACCGGGGAACUGCAUCUGAUACUGGAUGGCUUGAGUACGGGAGAGGAUGUGGGAAUUCCUGGUGUAGCGGUGAAAUGCGUAGAUAUCAGGAGGAACACCGGUGGCGUAGGCGCACAUCUGGCCCGAUACUGACGCUGAGGCGCGAAAGCUAGGGGAGCAAACGGG